AGAGUUUGAUUCUGGCUCAGAACGAACGCUGGCGGCGUGGAUAAGACAUGCAAGUCGAACGAGAGAAUUGCUAGCUUGCUAAUAAUUCUCUAGUGGCGCACGGGUGAGUAACACGUGAGUAACCUGCCCCCAAGAGUGGGAUAGCCCCGGGAAACUGGGAUUAAUACCGCAUAAAAUCGCAAGAUUAAAGCAGCAAUGCGCUUGGGGAUGGGCUCGCGUCCUAUUAGUUAGUUGGUGAGGUAACGGCUCACCAAGGCGAUGACGGGUAGCCGGUCUGAGAGGAUGUCCGGCCACACUGGAACUGAGACACGGUCCAGACACCUACGGGUGGCAGCAGUCGAGAAUCAUUCACAAUGGGGGCAACCCUGAUGGUGCGACGCCGCGUGGGGGAAUGAAGGUCUUCGGAUUGUAAACCCCUGUCAUGUGGGAGCAAAUUAAAAAGAUAGUACCACAAGAGGAAGAGACGGCUAACUCUGUGCCAGCAGCCGCGGUAAUACAGAGGUCUCAAGCGUUGUUCGGAUUUACUGGGCGUAAAGGGUGCGUAGGUGGUGGGGUAAGUCGGAUGUGAAAUCUCCGAGCUCAACUCGGAAAGUGCAUUGGAAACUACCCUGCUCGAGGGUUGGAGGGGGGACUGGAAUACUUGGUGUAGCAGUGAAAUGCGUAGAUAUCAAGUGGAACACCAGUGGCGAAGGCGAGUCCCUGGACAACUCCUGACGCUGAAUCACGAAAGCUAGGGGAGCAAACAGGAUUAGAUACCCUGGUAGUCCUAGCU
rnacentral:rRNA from 1 species